rnacentral:rRNA from 1 species
GACGGCGGAGGCAAGCGGUAUCCGGAAUUAUUGGGCGUAAAGGGUACGUAGGCGGCUGGUCAAGUCUGGGGUUAAAGGCCACAGCUCAACUGUGGGAAGGCCCUGGAAACUGACCGGCUAGAGUGAGGUAGGGGUUGCGGGAAUUCCCGGUGUAGCGGUGAAAUGCGUAGAGAUCGGGAAGAACACCUGAGGCGGAAGCGCGCAACUGGGCCUCAACUGACGCUGAGGUACGAAAGCUAGGGGAGCGAAUGGG